UGAUUGGUGCUGUUUCCUAUACAUAUAUGUUCACUAACUGCAAUGAUCAAAUCACAUGGACUUUUCUUGCAUGCAGAUCAGACCAUGGCUUUUCUUUGAAACUGAAAUGGGUAAUCUCAGUUCAACAUCAGAAUCAGAACCAGAACCAGAAUCAGAAUCAGAACUUGAUAAACCAUGGAGGGAAAUACUCUGGAGCAAAGAG